AUCCUUACCUGGCAGGGGAGACACCAUGAUCAGGAAGGUGUUUUCCCAGGAUAAGGCUCACCCAUUGUACUUUGGGUGUGCUGAUUCCUGAGAUUUCCCCCAAAUAAUAAACUCAACUGCAUAAUUUGUGGUAGUGGGAGAGUGCAUUUGCACUCUCCUC
ensembl:snRNA U1 U1 spliceosomal RNA